AUUUGCGUUCUAAUAUGCCUACUCACCUACUAUAUAGUAGGGAAAAAAGAGUAUGUGAAGAAAGAAGUACGUUCGAAACCUUGAACCAUAAAACAGUAGGCGAGUAAUCCCCGGAUGUCCUACUGCUUCAGCGAAGACUCUGAAGGGUUCAUCGAGGAUACUUUUCAAUCCCAGAAUGCCACGCGAAAGGGAUAAAUCGUCAUCGAACGUGAAGUAGAGCAUUAUAUGAGUAUUAUAAAGCAAAACACGGUUCCCAUGUGAUAAAAUCGUAUUUGUUGAGCUACUGUAGAGUAAGCUGUUGAUUUGUCAGUUGACUGUCUACAUUGCUUUAGAUGAAUGGACAGAUCAGACACAUGUGUGUUCAUCUGCUGCAGAGAGACUGAUAAAGAAAUGCUGCCAUAAAAGAUUCUCAAUCUUUUGUGGUGGAGCAGGUGACAGCAGCAUCUGUGGAAAAAAACCUGAAAGAAAAAUCUAAAGAUCUGAAAUGUCUGCAGACUGCCGUGUGCACUGAGGAUGAAGAAGAUGGAGUGUCAUGGGUGAAAUACUCCAUCACUGCAUCUCCUCUUGUUUUCUCAUCAGGGCCAGAUGCUGCUGUGGUCUCUUCAUCUUCAGUGACCCCAGAGCCAGCGAGAACAUCUAGAGAAAGACCAAAAGACACUGAGGAUGUGAGAUUGGUCAAGUUUGUUCUGCUGGUUUCUGUUCAUACAACAUUAUUCAAUAAAGCCUGAGUUUCAGAAGUUUCUAAAGUAUCAUCAAAUAAUGUCACAAAGAAUCUGAAAGUCAGGCUCCAUUGACUGAUACUGUAUGGACACAAACCAGCAGGAGAAACCUGACCAACAUCACCUUUUAUGUUCAGGCAAAGGAUUGAACAGAAUGGAGGCAAGUCAUUAAUGACUGAAUUUAUAUGUUUAGAUGACCUGACCCUUUAAAAUCCAAAAUAGAAACUGUAUUAAAUGUAUGCAUGUAUUAAUAUUAUAGUAGAACAUUGAAGAAAGAAAGCUUUAAGAAAUAAGCAGCUUUAUUUAGCAUUUUUCUGCCCAAGACACAAAAAAAGCAUUCACAAAAUUCACAUUUACAUGUAUUGAUUUGCCAGACACUUUUAUCUGAAGUGACUUACAGUGCUGUUAUUACAGGAUCUCAAUCCCUCUGGAGUCACCUGGAGUAAAGACACACCGGUGGAGAUUGAUCCAGAAACCUUCUGCUCACCAGUCCAGUUCACUACACCACAGAAAUAAUGUAGCUAUAGCAAAUUAACAUGCAAUUGUAAAAAUGUAAAAUUAAAUUCAGCAAUAAAUAGAAUGCUGACAACAUGAUAUAAAGUGUUUUACUCUGUGUAAAUGUUUUACAGGUAGUCAUGCUCAUGGUGAGCAGACACAGAUGUUUGGAGCAGACACAGCAGCAGUCAGAUCGUGCCACACAUGUUCUCCUGCUCUUGUUCAGGGUUGUGUGUUUCAGGGUCUUCAUCGUGGUCUUCCUCAUCCUCUCUGUGCACUCAGACAAGGACUCGAUGUCCCUCUCUCAUCAUGAUCAGAUUCAGUCUGACUGCAGCAGUGAGGGACCUGAUGGACGGAUGUGGGUUCACCGUCUGUAAACAUUCAAGAACAGAACAAUGUCUGAAUAAAGCUUUAUUUCAUCGGU